AAAGCUGUGGAAAUUUGCAAGUCCUCGGAAGUAAGCAUCAAAAAGAUAACCAAGGACAUUUUUUUUCACAGCAAAAGCCAUAUCCACGGAAUGUGGAAUUCUAUAGAGAGGUCACCGAGUAGAGAAUGGAGUAUUGGUAGAAGGUUUUGAAUUUCAGAACUCCACACAUGAUGGAAAGGGUUGAUAAGAUUGUGUGAUGGCAAGGUUAUCGACCUUUGACAAACUUCUAGGCUUGAGGCAGAAAGAUCAUGUUGUUGCAGUAACAGGAGA
rnacentral:misc_RNA from 1 species